rnacentral:rRNA from 1 species
CCUACGGGCGGCAGCAGUAGGGAAUAUUGCUCAAUGGGGGAAACCCUGAAGCAGCAACGCCGCGUGGAGGAUGGAAGUUUUCGGAUUGUAAACUCCUUUUGUUAGAGAAGAUAAUGACGGUAUCUAACGAAUAAGCACCGGCUAACUCCGUGCCAGCAGCCGCGGUAAUACGGAGGGAGCAAGCGUUACUCGGAAUCACUGGGCGUAAAGAGCGCGUAGGCGGGAUAGCAAGUCAGAUGUGAAAUCCUAUGGCUUAACCAUAGAACGGCAUUUGAAACUGUUAUUCUAGAGUAUGGGAGAGGUAGGUGGAAUUCUUGGUGGAGGGGUAAAAUGCGUAGAGAUCAAGAGGAAUACUCAUUGCGAAGGCGACCUGCUAGAACAUAACUGACGCUGAUGCGCGAAAGCGUGGGGAGCAAACAGGAUUAGAUACCCCAGUAGUC